CCCCUCCCCAUCUCCCUCUCCCUCACACUAUUUUCUCUCACAACCUCCAUUGGAGACUAAUCUCAAGCUCCGAAAAUCAAUCCUAUACUUAGAAUCUUUCAUAAAUCAAAGCAUAAACCAUCUAUUCAUGAAUCAAGACAAGAGUUGAUGAGAUUUUAGAGAGUGGAGCUAAGGAAGAUUUUACUUUUCUUUUAAAGUCUUUGAAUACCAGUCGAGGACGCAAGUAAGAUCACCCCGUGUACCACUUGAAGUAAGCUAAGCUUGUCAGGUGGGCAUUACUUUCACUACUACUAUUAUGUGGGCAUUAUUUUCUAUAAUCUAUUAUGUGAGUUCUCAAUGAUGAUGAAUUAUGAUUUGAACUUAUUGACUUGUCGUUUAUUUUGAUGAUGAACUUGCCGUGAUACCCUCUACCGAUGGGACGAAUUCGGUUCUGCCACAAGCAUGAUUUUGUGCACAGAGGUGGCUGUGAGCCGUCUAUCGGUUCUGCCGGUCACGGUAAUUGAGAGGGAGGCCUACUUCUGAGUACCUUUGAUGAUGAAUUGUAGAUGUGGUACAUACAUGUUGAGUUUAUUUUGAUUGUGCAAUCGUUUAUUAUGAUGCUUAUGAUUGAGAUUCGGCUUUCACAGGUUUAUUUAUACUAAAACCCUCUGUGAUCUGCUUAAAACUGUGGCAAGUUCAAUCUAUAGCUCAAAUGAGCAAGUUUCAUUUAUUUUUUUUCGGCUUAUGUCCACUGAGUAUUCUGUACUCAAGCCUUGCAUAUAUUUCUAAUCAUGCAGGAUAAGCAAGGAUGGAGGAUGGCCUUGUGUUGGCAGGGUUGUUGUUUCGAAUGUUUACUAUCUACCGUAUUUUCAUUUCAUAUGGUUGCAUUUUGAUUUUGGAGUUUGUUUUAGACUUAAUCAAGUGAUAUACUCUCAGCUAUAUGUCUUCAUACAUAUAGUCUAAUCACCUUUUGCUGUGAUACUCUGCAUAAUAUGAAUCUUUGUAAAUAUUGAGCUAUGCCUGCUUUGUAAAUGUUGACGAGAAUCCCGAUACUUUGGCUUUUACAAAGUUGUUGAUGCUUAUGUCUUGAAGGGUUAUUAUGUUGCUCGAGUUA